rnacentral:lncRNA from 1 species
CCAACAAAAAAAAUUAAUUUCCUUUACGAGAAAAAGUCCCAAAUGCACAAAAUAAGUAUAAUAUGUGUCGAGCCCAUUAGAUUAAUACAUAUAACUCCAAAUGACUUAUUCGAUGUAAUAAGUAAUAAAUAUGUGCUCAAAAAGAAAUUAAAACUGCAUGAACUCACAAAAUGAGUCAUACAAUUGAUUAUGGUACGUGAUUCAACUCGACAGAUCAACCAGCUCCAAUUGCUGCUCCAACUCAACUACUACAUGCUAAGAAAAAGGAUGAUAUAAUAUAUGAGUUUGUAUCACAGUGAGUGGACAGUUUACAAAUUAGUAUAUUUUCCCAUUUGUACAUUUUUGCUGAAAAAUCUUAUUUAUUCUAUGACAACUAGUAAAAUCAUUUAUUCUUUAUUCUAAAUAAUCAACUGUAAAUUAUUUUAAAUAUAAGUAAUCUGAUAUCAAUAGAAAUUUGAGUAAAAUGGUCAUUUCACAAUUCUAUAAUGUAAAACAUUUAUUUUUUAAAUUGAGCAACUAAAAUCUAUAAUUUGAAAUCCGAUAAACUAUAAUAAUGUAGAAAAAUAAUACCAAACGGUACCUGAAAUAACCAUACCCAUGUAUCCAUUAAUAUCAAUGUACAUAGAAAGGUUAUUCAUAAUUUGAAAAUUCUUAAAUUCUGAAAUAUUGUAAUUAUGUAAUUCUAGUCAUAUGCGAAGUAGAAUUGUCUAAAGACUAUAAUAUGAUCAUACACUUUGAAAACACAUUCACACUAGUGCAGACUGGAUAAAAUCAUGUGGAUACUUUCUAAUAAUUUUAAAACUAACUUUUAAUGUACUGAAAUAUUUAAUACCGACAUAAUAUACAAAUGAAAUGACUUAGCUGAUUGUGUUUAACUUUAAAAAGAACUAUUUAUUUACAAAAAUUUUAUUUUAUUUUGAAAAUCAUGCUGUCUAAGUCAAUUAUCUAACAUAAGUACCUUUUGCAACUAAUAUGAUUUAAGGCAAGCACUAUAAUAAAUAAAGAUUUCAUAUAAUUAGCUUUAGAACUAAUAUAAAUUAAAUUAGUGAUUAUUUCUGAAGAAGUGAUUUUUUCUAGUCACACAAAUGAUUGCAACGAACUAGGUGGGCAGGUACAAUUUUUCCACUUCUAUGCUGGCUCCUGAAAUAAUCACUUGAUAUUGUAAAAGAAUAGGAUAUGAAAGAAAAUCCAAUUCAUCUCCUACUCUUCGAUAGCUGGCAAUUGCUACUCUUUAUUUUAUUUUUCUUUCUUCUUGUUUCCCUUUUUUCUCUUUUUCGGUUUCUCUCUGCUUCUAAUUUCUUCCAUACCCAAUUAGAAAAUGUAUCCAUUUUCCUUUUAUGUUAAUACAUUAAUGUUGUAUAAUUACAAGUCAAGUUCUUAAUCUUCAUAUAAUUAACUUUCAGCCCUUUAACUCUAAAUAUAGAAACUAAAUCUCUAAGUUCCUUUAUUAUAUUAUCUGUAACCCUUAAGUACGUGUAAUUAUAAUAUAGGCCUCAUGAAAAUUAUUUGUUUAAGUCCUCAUUUACUUUGAGUUUGAACAAACACUCUCUUGACUUUGACUAAAAAUAAGUAGGGUGUAAUAAUCUUCUUCCUUAAAAAGAAUUUCAUCCUUGAAAUUCAAUAAGCUAAAAUUCGAAAACAUAAAGAUAUAGCACAUACAUCUAAUCCUUGCUCUCUUUUGUAGCCUCUUCUCUUCAUGGUUCCUCUAGAGGACUAAAACUAGUAAACUUAUCUUGAUUGGCAAAACUUCCUCGGAGUCUUGCAUUUCCUACAUUUUCUAAUAGAUCUGACCAUUGUUGGCCCCUGAAGUUUUAACUCUUUCUGCUAAGAAAUGUGCUUCACCUUAUAUGAUCUAUAAAUAUCUAACAUUCCUUCCCAUUUCUUUAAUGCCUCCAAAUAAUCACUUCAUCUUCUUGACCUGACUUUGAUUCCAUUCAAGUUGAGGAGAGCUCGAAUGAUUUUAGCGGUGAAUGGACAGUUCGCUGGCCACCUGGACAGCGCUCAAGCGGAUGGAAUACCCAGUGAAACCCUAGAUUUCGAUUUUGAGACUUUUUACAAUGUCAAACAACCUCAAAUAAUUCAUAUUAUAAAUACCCAAGCCAUAGUUCAUCCCUAUUAUAUGUUGAGCCUAUUUUCAUGCAAGAGAACGUCCUGUUGAAGAUCCAUUACACAAUCUAUAGUUCUCUUGACUCCAAAGAGAAAAACCUCUGAGCCAAUUUCACAAUUUGUAGACUGGAAAUGAUGAGGCCAAGAAAAACAAAAUGCUUAAGAUUGAAGGGAGAAGGGGGAUAUUCUAUACAUCUUCACUUUCAAGAACAAAACCACUCACUUUAGAUCCAGAGUAAUAACACAAAUUUACACAAGGAAACACCAAAAACCAAAUAGAUAGAAAUAUUGGCUGAAUUAAAUUUCUCAAGACAGUCUACUAUAACAAAUGUGUGACUUUCGUGUAUCUUUAUUGGUUUUGCCCUUUUACUAUUCUUCUUUUACUAUAAUGCAAUGUGUGCUUGAUUUUUAAUAUAAUUUUUGUUGGUUUUCAGCUGUUAUCUAAUUCAAUAAUGAGAGACCUAUUAUGUUUUUCUCUGUUUGGCUUACAUUAAUCAGCAUAAUAGUAGUCAAUAUUUUAUUUUAGAAACUCAGAUUGUAGCUCAUAUUAACACUUAAUCUGCCUGCUAAAUUCGCCCCAGUUUACAAACACAGCUACACUAUCUAGAAUCACAUAUGACUCGCGUUAACUGUAACUAAACAAAUAAUAUGAAUAAAACCUAAAAACCAAGAAAGGCCCAAAAAUAAUUCACCGCAUAUCAAAUAUACAAUCACUGAUUAUUCAAUUGAAGUUCUAAACUAGCAAAGGAGAAAACACAAACCCUUACAAACCCAUUGAAUAUUAAUACGCUUCUCAACGUGAGUACAAAUAAAUCAAAACGAAUGAUUAAUAUCGUAAAAAUUUACAGAGAGGUUUUCACAGGUGAGAACAGAUAGAGAAAAAUGGCGAGCAAACAGGUCCCAGACAGAAGACAGAACAAUAACUGCAGGGCGACUUACCGGAGGUGGAAAUGAGAAGAGAUAGGCCGGGCGAGAGUAAAAAUGAACAGCAGUCGGCAACCAGCAAUUGAACGAUGUGAGAGAGAAUAAAGCAGCGCGAUCAUGGAUUGAACCAGUCUCUGAUCGACUGGAUCACUGAUUAAAUGGGAAAAGGGAAAGGCUAUCGGAGGAGGAAAGAAGGAUUUGGCGGAAAAAAAAAACUAAAGAGAGAGCUAAGAAAACGAAUGGAAAAAUGAAAGAAAUGGAAAAGAAAAAAGAAAAGGAAAAAAAUAUGGCAAGAUUUUUAACGAC